rnacentral:rRNA from 1 species
UACAGAGGUCUCAAGCGUUGUUCGGAUUCAUUGGGCGUAAAGGGUGCGUAGGUGGCGGGGUUAGUCAGGUGUGAAAUCUCGGGGCUCAACCCCGAAACUGCACUUGAUACUGCCUUGCUAGAGGGCUGGAGAGGAGAUCGGAAUUCACGGUGUAGCAGUGAAAUGCGUAGAUAUCUGGAGGAACACCGGUGGCGAAGGCGGCAUCCUGGACCAAUUCUGACGCUGAGGAGCGAAAGCCAGGGGAGCAAACGGG